UUUCAACCCCGGUAGAACGCUAGAGCUUGAUGGCAGCUCCUGGCUUUCCAACACCGGGUCCGGCCACCAGGGGGAGUCCGUCAGCACUGAGCAGCAGUCCAGACGACCGUUGAUUGCUGGGAGGCAGCGUAGCUGGUCUAGAGACAACCAGACAUUCACAGACACUGUCUACAGUAUCUACAGGGACCAGAAGUGCAGGUGUUCGGAGCAGGUUCCCUACCCCAGUCAGUGGGACUCGCAGGCCUCGCACCCCAGUCAGUGGGACUCAGAGCAGGCCUCGCACCCCAGGCAGUGGGACUCAGAGCAGGCCUCGCACCCCAGGCAGUGGGACUCAGAGCAGGCCUCGGUCCCCAGGCAGUGGGACUCAGAGCAGGCCUCGCACCCCAGGCAGUGGGACUUAGAGCAGGCCUCGCUCCCCAGGCAGUGGGACUUAGAGCAGGCCUCGCUCCCCAGGCAGUGGGACUCAGAGCAGGCCUCGUACUUUAUUGAAAAUGGGAUCGAGGAAGAGCAGGUAGCAGGCUGGUAGUAGUAGGUAGUCUGGUAGGUAGUCUGGGCACUAAAGAGAAGGAUGCUUCAAGAAGGGGCUCGUUGAAGGAUGCCUUCAGGAGGAGCUCGACGUCAUUGACUCCCCGGGAGUUAACAGAGGGUCUAGCAAUUACCCUUACUGAACACCAGGAAGGCGCUACAGGGACAGACCCUCACCCCACAGGGCUCCCAACUAUCCCCUUCCUCCCACUCAUGUCUCCAGGGUGAUGAUGGAGAUGGGGUCUCGUCUGUCACCCAACUCCCUCUUCAGUCUCCAAUGCAGCCUCACUGUAAUCGUCUGUCUUCCAAGGCAGCAGGGCCCGGCGGCUCAGCUGUCCACUUCUGGAGAGGUCGAACAGUAAGCGAUACAUCAAACUGGAAAUCAUGGGCGGAGAGUCCUUCAAGGCAGUGGAUGUAGCAACUUCCUGUGUGCCCGACUCGAACCAGGAAGAGGAAAGGGAAGUAGCAGUCGUUCAGGGAGAAGAAGAAGAAGGAAAAGGAGAGGGAGCAACAGUCACCUUUAGCUCUUCUUGAUCUGAACUCUGGAUACUGUAAUCCCCAGCUCUUCAACAGAGGAACCCUAAAUAGUUCUGCCUCGGCAUGUUAUCAUUUAGAUGGAGAUCAAUAGGAAAAUACAGGGCUCAAACCCCAUCUAGAAUCAAGGUGUGGCCUAAGGGAACUCAGAGGAGAGGGUGUGAUCAGAGUGGCUCCCAGUUCUUCAACAGAUAUGACAUGUCUUGUUAUUCUUU